GAUGAAGAACGUAGCGAAAUGCAAUAAGUAAUGUGAAUUGCAGAAUUCAGUGAAUCAUCGAAUCUUUGAACGCACAUUGCGCCCGCCAGUAUUCUGGCGGGCAUGCCUGUUCGAGCGUCAUUUCAACCAUCAAGCCCCCGGGCUUGUGUUGGGGACCUGCGGCUGCCGCAGGCCCUGAAAACCAGUGGCGGGCUCGCUAGUCACUCCGAGCGUAGUAGUUACAUCUCGCUCAGGGCGUGCUGCGGGUUCCGGCCGUUAAAAGCCUUUUACCCCAAGGUUGACCUCGGAUCAGGUAGGAAGACCCGCUGAACUUAAGCAUAUCAAUAAGCGGAGGA
rnacentral:misc_RNA from 1 species